rnacentral:tRNA from 1 species
CGGGGCGUGGCGCACGCCUGGCUAGCGCGACCGGCUUGGGACCAGCCGCUCACAGAUUCAAAUCCUGUCGCCCCGACUA